CCUACGGGUGGCUGCAGUGAGGAAUAUUUGUCAAUGGGCGGGAGCCUGAACCAGCCAAGUCGCGUGAGUGAUGACGGCCCUAUGGUUUGUAAACCUCUUUUGCCGCGGAGCCAGGUGCCGCUCGUGUGCGGUUUGUAGUGUACCCGGAGAAAAAGCAUCGGAUAAAUCCGUUCCAUCAGCCCCGGAAAUACGGAGGAUGCGAGCUUUAUCCGAAUUGAUUGGGUUUGAAGGGUACGUAGGGGGACGCUUAAGUCAGCGGUAAAAUUGCGGGGUUCAACCUCGUCGAGCCGUUGAAACUGGGUGGCUUGAGUGGGCGAGAAGGACGCGGAAGGCGUGGUGUAGCGGUGAAAUGCAUAGAUAUCACGCAGAACUCCGAUUGCGAAGGCAGCGUAACGGCGCCCAACUGACGCUGAAGCACGAAGGCGUGGGUAUCGAACAGGAUUAGAUACCCUUGUAGUC
rnacentral:rRNA from 1 species